rnacentral:misc_RNA from 1 species
UUUCUUUUUUGGAAACUAGAAGUUUUGUCUUGAAGUCAUAAUAAUUUCUUUGAAGACGGUGGACUGGACGACGAGAAAAUCAGAGGGUGACGGUGAUGUAACAAGACUAGAAGUCUGCCACCGUACGGCGUCUAACGCUAUGAAAAUUAUCUUGCAUGUAGGAAUUUUUAUUUUAUUUUAUUUUAGUUUCUUAGGAGCAGUGUUUAGUUUCUUGAUCUUUCCUGUUUUGACUUCCCUCCCAAUAACUCUAUAUUUCCAAGACAGAGUAAAU